rnacentral:lncRNA from 1 species
CAUCCACCCAAGUUGCUUGGAAUUAACUUCCACGUUGUGUCAUCUUGCAUCGGCUUAGAUUGCACAUGCUGCCUCAUUGUAAUGUCUAGCCUAGAGUUCAAGAGACCAUUGCUCAUGUUAUUCUAGAACACAAAAAGUCAAUAUAGGUGUGAAGACUAGCUCCUCUCCAUCUCUCCAUGAGUUUAUCAUGCUCCAACCCAAUGGCCAAUGGUGGGUGUGCAACACAUGGC